UUGCCUUAGUAACGGCGAGUGAAGCGGCAACAGCUCAAAUUUGAAAGCUGGCCCCCUCGGGGUCCGCGUUGUAAUUUGUAGAGGAUGAUUCGGCGACGGCUCCCGCCUAAGUCCCUUGGAACAGGGCGUCAUAGAGGGUGAGAAUCCCGUAUGUGGUGGGCUGCCUUAGCCAUGUGAAUCUCCUUCGACGAGUCGAGUUGUUUGGGAAUGCAGCUCUAAAUGGGAGGUAAAUUUCUUCUAAAGCUAAAUACCGGCCAGAGACCGAUAGCGCACAAGUAGAGUGAUCGAAAGAUGAAAAGCACUUUGGAAAGAGAGUUAAAAAGUACGUGAAAUUGUUGAAAGGGAAGCGCUUGCAGCCAGACUUGUCCGCAGUUGCUCAGCCUGUCUCCUGACAGGCGUACUCUUCUGCGGCCAGGCCAGCAUCAGUUCGGGCGGUCGGAUAAAGACCUGGGGAAUGUAGCUCCUCUCGGGGAGUGUUAUAGCCCCGGGUGCAAUGCGGCCAGCCCGGACUGAGGAUCUCGCUUCGGCUAGGAUGCUGGCGUAAUGGCUGUAAGCGGCCCGUCUUGAAACACGGACCAAGGAGUCUAACAUCUAUGCGAGUGUUUGGGUGUCAAACCCAUGCGCGUAAUGAAAGUGAACGGAGGUGGGAACCCUCACGGGUGCACCAUCGACCGAUCCUGAUGUCUUCGGAUGGAUUUGAGUAAGAGCAUAGCUGUUGGGGACCCGAAAGAUGGUGAACUAUGCCUGAAUAGGGUGAAGCCAGAGGAAACUCUGGUGGAGGCUCGCAGCGGUUCUGACGUGCAAAUCGAUCGUCAAAUUUGGGUAUAGGGGCGAAAGACUAAUCGAACCAU
rnacentral:rRNA from 1 species